rnacentral:lncRNA from 1 species
UGUAUCAUGAAGACUCAUGUUUGAUAGACUAAUCUUUUUAAUCAAAAUGAGUGAGUUAAAAAAUUAAGAGAUGUUGUUAUAUACACUAUUUCUAAGCAAACAUAUGCUCCUUCUCACAAAAGGCAAAGAUGGAUUUGAUUACUGUUUGUUGGUAUUGUAUAUUCAUUACCUUUCCAUGAAUUUCCAUGGGUUUCACCUGGUGUUCUAUUUAACUACUUCCUAUGAAGUGCAUUAGUUCCUUUGAAGGUUAAAGGCUAUUUAAUUUAACUCUAUAGAGUGAAACAGAUGUGUGCCUGUGAAGCUGGCAGGAGUAAUGUCUUUCAAGAGUCUGGGUCAAGAUCAAGCAACGUAGUGGUAACUCAUAAUAUUCUUCAGUCUCCGAAAAAGGCACUCUAGAGAACAGAUAAAGGGCAUCUUAGUACAAAGAUGGUGGACUUGCACUUGGUUUAUUUUUAUAUUCCCUUUCUGUGCAUAGCCUAUGAAAUCUGGCAAAUUAGUACAGAAUUUUCAAAAGGUUUUUAAAUGGAGAGAAUUCCUAUCCACAUUAAUUCAGGGCACACUUGCCGUAAGAAAUCAACCAGAAUUUUAUAUUUCUCCAGAGAGUUGCAUUUCAAGUCUUUCUAGAGAUGAAAACUCCAUUAGUACAGAAUCAUAGCUACUCCUGUCAGUCACAUUGAUGUGGACAUUUUCAUGUAAAUAAGAUGCUGUCACUCUGCUUGUCAUUGAUGCUGUCCCAAAUUAUUAUGUAUGUUCUCAAACAAUCUUUGUCAUUUUUGUCCUAAUUCACAAAUUUAAAAUCUCUUUCCA